rnacentral:tRNA from 1 species
GUCUUCGUGGUGUAGUGGUCAGCACAUGAGCCGGUAUUUCAGAGGUCCGUGGUUCGAUUCCCGGCGAAGGCG